rnacentral:rRNA from 1 species
GUGGGGAAUAUUGGACAAUGGGGGAAACCCUGAUCCAGCAAUACCGCGUGUGUGAAGAAGGCCUCCGGGUUGUAAAGCACUUUCAGUAGGGAAGAAAUUCUUAGGCUUAAUACGCCUAAGCGUUGACGUUACCUACAAAAGAAGCACCGGCUAACUCCGUGCCAGCAGCCGCGGUAAUACGGAGGGUGCAAGCGUUAAUCGGAAUUACUGGGCGUAAAGCGCGCGUAGGCGGCUUGUAAAGUUGGAUGUGAAAGCCCUAGGCUCAACCUGGGAACUGCAUUCAAAACUGGCAGGCUAGAGUACAGUAGAGGUGAGUGGAAUUUCCAGUGUAGCGGUGAAAUGCGUAGAUAUUGGAAGGAACAUCAGUGGCGAAGGCGACUCACUGGGCUGAUACUGACGCUGAGGUGCGAAAGCGUGGGGAGCAAACGGG